AUUGAACGCUGGCGGCAUGCUUUACACAUGCAAGUCGGACGAGUGGCGAAAGGGUUAGUAACGCCUCGGCACGUACCGAGUACUAGGGGAUAACUGACCGUAAGGACAGCUAAUACCGCAUAUACUUCGAUCGGCCGAUGUCUGAUUAGCUGGUUGGAGGGGUAAACGCCCACCAAGGUGACGAUCUGUACCGGGUCUGAGAGGAUGAUCCGCCACACUGGAACUGAGACACGUCCCAGACUCCUACGGGAGGCAGCAGUGGGGAAUUUGGGACAAUGGGCGAAAGCCUGAUCCAGCCAUGCCGCGUGUCUGAAGAAGGCCUUCGGGUUGUAAAGGACUUUUGUCAGGGAAGCGGUACCUGAAGAAUAGGCACCGGCUAACUACGUGCCAGCAGCCGCGGUAAUUC
rnacentral:rRNA from 1 species